rnacentral:rRNA from 1 species
GCUAAACGCGAAGAACCUUACCCACACUUGACAUGCCUCUUUUGGCUUUCAGAGAUGAUUGCCUUCGGUUCGGCCGGGGAGGUGCACAGGUGCUGCAUGGCUGUCGUCAGCUCGUGUCGUGAGAUGUUGGGUUAAGUCCCGCAACGAGCGCAACCCUUAUCGUAUGUUGCCAGCAUUUAGUUGGGCACUCGUGCGAGACUGCCGGUGAUAAGCCGGAGGAAGGCGGGGACGACGUCAAGUCAUCAUGGCCCUUACGUGUGGGGCUAGAAACGUGCUACAAUGGGAGUGACAGUGAGCAGCGAGGUCGCGAGGCCAAGCUAAUCUCCAAAAGCUCUCUCAGUUCAGAUUGUAGUCUGCAACUCGACUACAUGAAGUUGGAAUCGCUAGUAAUCGCAAAUCAGCAUGUUGCGGUGAAUACGUUCCCGGGUCUUGUACACACCGAGGUCGGUG